AGGUGCAUUUUACCUGCAAUAGUGCCACAUCUACAGAAUAAAACUGGGACUUUGCAGAGAUCAGCACGGCCCCUGUGCAAGGAUGACAUGCAAAUUCAUGAGGCAGUCCAUAUUUUU
rnacentral:snRNA from 1 species